AGUGAACGCUGGCGGUAGGCCUAACACAUGCAAGUCGAACGGCAGCACAGUAAGAUCUUGCUCUUACGGGUGGCGAGUGGCGGACGGGUGAGGAAUACAUCGGCAUCUACUUUUUCGUGGGGGAUAACGUAGGGAAACUUACGCUAAUACCGCAUACGACCUACGGGUGAAAGCAGGAGAUCUUCGGACCUUGCGCGAUUGAAUGAGACGAUGUCGGAUUAGCUAGUUGGCGGGGUAAAGGCCCACCAAGGCGACGAUCCGUAGCUGGUCUGAGAGGAUGAUCAGCCACACUGGAACUGAGACACGGUCCAGACUCCUACGGGAGGCAGCAGUGGGGAAUAUUCGACAAUGGGCGCAAGCCUGAUCCAGCCAUACCGCGUGGGUGAAGAAGGUCUUCGGGUUGUAAAGCCCUUUUGUUGGGAAAGAAAAGCAGCAUAUUAAUACCCCGCUGUUCUGACGGUACCCAAAGAAUAAGCACCGGCUAACUUCGUG
rnacentral:rRNA from 1 species